rnacentral:rRNA from 1 species
ACGCUCGACACCUAUGGGAGGCAGCAGUGGGGAAUAUUGCACAAUGGGGGAAACCCUGAUGCAGCGACGCCGCGUGAGCGAAGAAGUAUUUCGGUAUGUAAAGCUCUAUCAGCAGGGAAGAAACUGACGGUACCUGACUAAGAAGCACCGGCUAAAUACGUGCCAGCAGCUGCGGUAAUCUGAGCGGGCUGGCAAGGC